CAGCCGCCGCGGGAAUACGAAGGGGGCUAGCGUUGCUCGGAAUGACUGGGCGUAAAGGGCGCGUAGGCGGAUGGCACAGUCAGAUGUGAAAUUCCCGGGCUUAACCUGGGGGCUGCAUUUGAUACGUGUUGUCUAGAGUGAGGAAGAGGGUUGUGGAAUUCCCAGUGUAGAGGUGAAAUUCGUAGAUAUUGGGAAGAACACCGGUGGCGAAGGCGGCAACCUGGUCCUUGACUGACGCUGAGGCGCGAAAGCGUGGGGAGCAAACAGGAUUAGAUACCCCCGUAGUCCCUGUCUCUUAUAC
rnacentral:rRNA from 1 species